rnacentral:rRNA from 1 species
UACGUAGGGGGCAAGCGUUGUCCGGAAUUAUUGGGCGUAAAGCGCGUGUAGGCGGCUCGGUAAGUCUGCUGUGAAAGUCCAGGGCUCAACCCUGGAAUGCCGGUGGAUACUGUCGGGCUUGAGUACGGAAGAGGCGAGUGGAAUUCCUGGUGUAGCGGUGAAAUGCGCAGAUAUCAGGAGGAACACCAAUUGCGAAGGCAGCUCGCUGGGACGUUACUGACGCUGAGACGCGAAAGCGUGGGGAGCAAACAGG